rnacentral:rRNA from 1 species
CAGCAGCCGCGGUGAUACGUAGGGUGCGAGCGUUGUCCGGAAUUAUUGGGCGUAAAGAGCUUGUAGGCGGUCUGUUGCGUCGGAAGUGAAAACUCAGGGCUUAACCCUGAGCCUGCUUUCGAUACGGGCAGACUUGAGGAAGGUAGGGGAGAACGGAAUUCCUGGUGGAGCGGUGGAAUGCGCAGAUAUCAGGAGGAACACCAGUGGCGAAGGCGGUUCUCUGGACCUUUCCUGACGCUGAGAAGCGAAAGCGUGGGGAGCAAACAGGCUUAGAUACCCUGGUAGUCCACGCCGUAAACGGUGGGCACUAGGUGUGGGACCCUUCCACGGGUUCCGUGCCGUAGCUAACGCAUUAAGUGCCCCGCCUGGGGAGUACGGCCGCAAGGCUAAAACUCAAAGGAAUUGACGGGGGCCCGCACAAGCGGCGGAGCAUGCGGAUUAAUUCGAUGCAACGCGAAGAACCUUACCUGGGUUUGACAUAUGCCGGAAACAUCUAGAGAUAGGUGCCCCGCAAGGUCGGUAUACAGGAGGUGCAUGGCC